CACGUAGGCACCAAGCGUUGUCCGGAUUUAUUGGGCGUAAAGAGCUCGUAGGCGGUUCGGUAAGUCGGGUGUGAAAACUUUGGGCUCAACCCAAAGCGUGCACUCGAUACUGCCAUGACUAGAGUUCGGUAGGGGAGUGGGGAAUUCCUAGUGUAGCGGUGAAAUGCGCAGAUAUUAGGAGGAACACCGGUGGCGAAGGCGCCACUCUGGGCCGAAACUGACGCUGAGGAGCGAAAGCGUGGGUAGCAAACAGG
rnacentral:rRNA from 3 species